rnacentral:sRNA from 1 species
AUGGCUCAGAUUGAAAGGGGAGAGGCGAGAAUUCAAAGAAGAAUAAGCAUCAAGAAAGCACUUGACACAAAGAUUGGACGGUACAAAGCACCUUUUCAUCAGCUGAGAAUAUCAUAUGGUACUAACAAAGGAAAAAACUAUACUGAAGAAGAAGAUCGUUUUCUGAUUUGUAUGCUUCACAAACUUGGAUUUGACAAAGAAAAUGUUUAUGAUGAAUUGCGACAGUGUAUUCGCAACUCUCCUCAGUUCAGAUUUGACUGGUUUCUUAAGUCCAGAACUGCAAUGGUGAGUGCUCAGGACUUUUUUGUGUUCAGAGUAAGUGUCAUCUUUGGUAUUCUUUAAGGUGACCU